rnacentral:rRNA from 1 species
UACAGAGGGUGCAAGCGUUGUUCGGAAUUAUUGGUCGUAAAGCGCGUGUAGGCGGCUUUGCAAGUCGGGUGUGAAAGCCCUCGGCUCAACCGAGGAAGUGCGCCCGAAACUGCAGAGCUUGAGUACCGGAGAGGAUGGCGGAAUUCCCCAAGUAGAGGUGAAAUUCGUAGAUAUGGGGAGGAACACCGGUGGCGAAGGCGGCCAUCUGGACGGAUACUGACGCUGAGACGCGAAAGCGUGGGGAGCAAACAGG